GAUGAAGAACGCAGCGAAAUGCGAUACGUAAUGUGAGUUGCAAAUUCAGUGAAUCAUCGAGUCUUUGAACGCACAUUGCGCCCCCUGGUAUUCCGGGGGGCAUGCCUGUCCGAGCGUCAUUGCUGCCCUCAAGCACGGCUUGUGUGUUGGGCCCCGUCCUCCGAUCCCGGGGGACGGGCCCGAAAGGCAGCGGCGGCACCGCGUCCGGUCCUCGAGCGUAUGGGGCUUUGUCACCCGCUCUGUAGGCCCGGCCGGCGCUUGCCGAUCAACCCAAAUUUUUUAUCCAGGUUGACCUCGGAUCAGGUAGGGAUACCCGCUGAACUUAAGCAUAUCAAUAAGCGGAGGA
rnacentral:misc_RNA from 1 species